rnacentral:rRNA from 1 species
GAUAAACGCUGGCGGCGUGCAUAACACAUGCAAGUCGAACGAUGAAACUUAGAUGAUUUCUUCGGAAUGAACUUAAGCGGAUUAGUGGCGAACGGGUGAGUAACACGUGAGUAACCUGCCUUACACAAGGGGAUAGCCUUUGGAAACGAAGAAUAAUACCCUAUAACGUCAAUUUAUCGCAUGAUAGAAUGACCAAAGAUUUAUCGGUGUAAGAUGGACUUGCGUCUGAUUAGCUAGUUGGUGAGAUAAAGGCCCACCAAGGCAACGAUCAGUAGCCGGCUUGAGAGAGUGUACGGCCACAUUGGGACUGAGACACGGCCCAAACUCCUACGGGAGGCAGCAGUGGGGAAUUUUGCACAAUGGGGGAAACCCUGAUGCAGCGACGCCGCGUGAUUUAGAAGGCCUUCGGGUUGUAAAAAUCUUUUUUAUGGGAUGAAAAUGACAGUACCAUAAGAAUAAGGUCCGGCUAAAUACGUGCCAGCAGCCGCGGUAAUACGUAUGGACCGAGCGUUGUCCGGAAUCAUUGGGCGUAAAGGGUACGUAGGCGGCCCAGUAAGUUAGAAGUGAAAUAAUAUAGCUCAACUAUAUAAAGCUUUUAAAACUGCUAGGCUUGAGAGAUGGAAGGGAAAGUGGAAUUCCUAGUGUAGCGGUGAAAUGCGCAGAUAUUAGGAAGAAUACCGGUGGCGAAGGCGACUUUCUGGUCAUCAUCUGACGCUGAGGUACGAAAGCGUGGGUAGCAAACAGGAUUAGAUACCCUGGUAGUCCACGCUGUAAGCGAUGAGUGUUAGGUUCUUGGAAUAAUCUGGGAGCCGCAGCUAACGCAUUAAACACUCCGCCUGGGGAGUACGCACGCAAGUGUA